UCCUGCUCCUCCUCUCACGUCCAGGAGGAAAUUGGAUUUCUUAAGUGAAGAAUCUGCAGUCUCAAAAAUACAUGUCUGCACACCUUUAAAGUGUUUUUGUGUUGUUGAGAAGUUGCGGCCAGCAGUUGCUGACUAUUACCUCAUCAAAGCAAAUCUUUCCAAUGCCCUGCCCAGGCAAGCACCCCUUGCCGACCCAAAGAACCUACCUGCACACCUGGCUGAGCAGAGCACCAGGUUCCUAGCAGCACAGAAAGUUCAGGAGGAACCAAAUAGUGAGCCUGAGCCCCUCACUGCCAAGACCACAGACCCCAACUGAGUAGGUCCCAGGGAAAGUGUCAGCACCCUUGAGCCUCGUGCAGCAGACUCCCAACUGGAUGCUAGAAACACAAGAGAAGGAUGAACAAACUCCUUUGAGACUGGACCCAGGGUGUGUUCCAGAUCCUAUGAUCCAGGAGACAACAGAGUUGGUACCAGAAACACCAGAAGACCAGAUGCCACAAACCCAAGCAGAGGAGGUGCAGAAGCCCUAGCCAGGCAGGACCUGGCAUGUGCUCAAAAACCCAUCAUGCAGGAUGUGAAUUGGGGAAUCAGAAUAGGAAUCAGAAUCGGCUUUAUUGCAAGGAAGUAGAAGCUGCAGCAGGAGCACGGACCGCAUG